rnacentral:rRNA from 1 species
UCCGUAGGUGAACCUGCGGAAGGAUCAUUGACACUAAAUCCAAAACCUCAAACCUUACGUGAAUCUGUAUUUAAUUUAAAUCCUCUGUGAAGUAUAAGUUGGUGAUGGUUGUGAUCAAGAAUCAUAAAAAUGGUUUUAACGAUUCUUUCAUGACAUGUUAAAUCAACUAUAACUUCAGCUAUGGAGGAUUGACCUCUUAUUUUACCAUUUUUAACCCAUUUACUAACCCCAAUUCACCCUUUGCUCUGAACUAACAACUUUUAUUGUUAAAUAUAUUUUAACAAAAGAACAACUCUUAGCAACGGAUAUCUUGGUUCUCGCAUCGAUGAAGAACGCAGCGAAAUGCGAAACGUAAUGCGAAUUGCAGAACUCAGCGAAUCAUCAAAUCUUUGAACGCAAAUUGCGCUCGCUGGUUAGCCCGGCGAGCACGCCUCUUUGAGUGUCGGUACUAUCAUCCCCGAGAGCGUGCCUAUGUAUGGGUACACGUGAUUGGGUUCAUGAGUGUUGGUGGUGCUCACUGUCGUGGGUCCUUACAUCACUUGAAAUACGUACAGUCAUUUCUCCUUACGUGGGAGUUGGCAUGAAGUUACUUUCACCUUGGUGAAUUUAUUUUGUGCUGACGUCUCGACGAAGCUUCCUUGGAGGUGAGUCGACCGUUGUAAGUCUAUUGAACGGCUGAUAUGAAAGUACGGAAAACAAACAACAUAAAUAAGACCUCAAAUGAAGCGGGAAACCCCCUGAAUUUAAGCAUAUUAUUAAGGGGAGGAAAAGAAACUAACAAGGAUUCCCCCAGUAACGGCGAGUGAAGCGGGAAGAGCUCAAUUUGAUAAUCGGCAGGCCUAACCGCCUGUCGAGUUGUAUCCUAGAGACGUUCUGUCAGUGUCAACCCGGGUAUAAAUCUUUUGAAACAAGGUAUCAUAGAGGGUGAGAAUCCCGUUUAUGACCCGGAGUUCGCCACGUACGACGUGCGUUCGCAGAGUCGAGUUGCUUGGGAGUGCAGCUCUAAAUGGGUGGUAAAGUUCAUCUAAAGCUAAAUAUUGGUGGGAGACCGAUAGCGAACAAGUACCGUGAGGGAAAGAUGAAAAGACUUUUGAAAAGAGUGUAAAAUAGUACCUGAAACUGCUGAAAGGGAAACGCUUGAAGU